rnacentral:lncRNA from 1 species
UUUUGGAAUUCAAAGAAACCUCCUUGUUUAUGGCACCAGUCCCUGAAUUCUAUAGAGAUUCAGUAUCUGUGGCAAUAUCAACAUGUCAGAUGUUGCUUCUUUGGUUGUGUAUCCUUUUAAUGAAGGAAGAAGAGGUAGAGAAAAAAGAAAAUCCUUGAGGGACAAGCAGUAUUGAAGACCUAACAUUUCACAGCUGCUGUGAUGUUUGAAAAUUUAUGUGAAGUCUUUAUUUUGAUGCAACAAUUUAAUUGUGGCCUAGAGCUGAGAUUUGCAUCUCUAAGGCUAUUCAAUGUAGAGUUACAACGAUAAGUGAGAAGGUGGGCAAAGAAUUCAAGAAGAAAUAAGACCGAAACCAAAGAACUUUUGAAUUUGUCAGCAUUACUCUGGUAAGAGUAAUGCAGUCCAGAAGCUUAAAGACAUUUUUGGAUGACUGGUUCAAAGAUAUUAGAUGAUGUUUAUUCUCUGAAGAGUUAGACAACGUUACCAGAUGCACAAAAGUGCAGGCUGAGUGAACCCAGCUUUUCAACUUGCAGUGGCUGCUAGCAAGAUUUAAAACAUGGGAGAAUGAUCCCUAUUACGAUUGUCAUGAGGAACUAAUGAGAAUUUAUGGAAAGCAUCAAGCUCUGUGCCAGCAGAA